AGUUUUUGGUGACAAAGUACGGAGAAACUAAGGAUAAAGUACAAGAUCGUAUUAAAGAAUGGUUUCAGAGAGCAAGUGAUGGCUUAAAAGCUACUGAGCAGAAAAUUAAAGAACCCGAACACCCCAAAGAGUCGACAAAGAUUUGAGCAUAUCUUCACUGUAAGAAAAUGUGUACCAGAACGGGACAGCCAAAUCGCCGAGAACGAGUAUUA